CGUGCCUAACACAUGCAAGUCGAGCGGGGACAUACGACGGACAGGAAGUUUUCGGAUGGAAUGGAAGAUGUAUGUUCUAGCGGCGGACGGGUGAGUAACGCGUGAGCAACCUGUCCCUUACAGGGGGAUAACACAGCGAAAGCUGUACUAAUACCGCAUAAGACCACAGAGAGACAUCUCACAGGGGUCAAAGGAGCAAUCCGGUAAGGGGUGGGCUCGCGUCCGAUUAGAUAGUUGGUGAGGUAACGGCCCACCAAGUCAACGAUCGGUAGCCGACCUGAGAGGAUGGACGGCCACAUUGGGACUGAGACACGGCCCAGACUCCUACGGGAGGCAGCAGUGGGGAAUCUUCCGCAAUGGGCGCAAGCCUGACGGAGCAACGCCGCGUGAGUGAGGAAGUUUUUCGGAACGUAAAGCUCUGUUGUUUGCGACGAACGUGCGCCCUGUGAAGAAUGGGGCGCAAUGACGGUAGCAGACGAGGAAGCCACGGCUAACUACGUGCC
rnacentral:rRNA from 1 species